rnacentral:rRNA from 1 species
GGCGAGUGGCGAACGGGUGAGUAAUACAUCGGAACAUGCCCAUUAGUGGGGGAUAGCUCGGCGAAAGCCGAAUUAAUACCGCAUACGACCUUCGGGUGAAAGGGGGGGAUCUUAGGACCUCUCGCUAUUGGAGUGGCCGAUGGCUGAUUAGUUUGUUGGUGGGGUAACGGCCUACCAAGACUGCGAUCAGUAGCUGGUCUGAGAGGACGAUCAGCCACACUGGGACUGCGACACGGCCCAGACUCCUACGGGAGGCAGCAGUGGGGAAUCUUGGACAAUGGGCGAAAGCCUGAUCCAGCAAUGCCGCGUGUGCGAUGAAGGCUUUCGGGUUGUAAAGCACUUUUAUCAGGGAAGAAAUGGUUUGGGAUAACACCUCAAAUAGCUGACGGUACCUGAAGAAUAAGCACCGGCUAACUACGUGCCAGCAGCCGCGGUAAUACGUAGGGUGCAAGCGUUAAUCGGAAUUACUGGGCGUAAAGCGUGCGCAGGCGGUUUGCUAAGACAGGUGUGAAAUCCCCGGGCUCAACCCGGGAACUGCAUCUGUGACUAGCAGACUAGAGUUUGGCAGAGGGGGGUGGAAUUCCUGGUGUAGCAGUGAAAUGCGUAGAUAUCAGGAGGAACACCGAUGGCGAAGGCAGCCCCCUGGGCCACCACUGACGCUCAUGCACGAAAGCGUGGGGAGCAAACAGGAUUAGAUACCCUGGUAGUCCACGCCCUAAACGAUGUCAACUAGUUGUUGGAUCUUUUUUGAUUUGUAACGAAGCUAACGCGUGAAGUGACCGCCUGGGA